AGGAGCAGACAGCUCAAUUCAUAAAAUUACGGUCUGAAAAUGACCAUUUCUUUACGGGGGCGAAAAACUCUGCCAGCGUGGCUUGGAGAGCAAUUCUGGAGAAAAUGGGUCUGCUGGGGAAGGUUACUCCCAUGCAGGCCAAAAAAAAAUGGGACAACUUAAAAAAAAAAUACAAAGAUUGCAAGUGUCCUGGGACAGGUAAGGGUGUGAGUGGGAAACCCACUGCUGAAACUUGGCCCUGGUUUGUCCUCAUGGAUGAGGUGUUGGGACAGAGGCAUUGCACCAACCCCCCUGUCCUCAUUGCCUCAAUCCCUGAGGACAGACCAGGGCCGAGUUCAGCAGUGGGUGCCCACGGUGGGGAGGAGCCAGCAGCACCACCAGCAGUAGCAG